rnacentral:rRNA from 1 species
GACGAACGCUGGCGGCGUGCUUAACACAUGCAAGUCGAACGGAAAGGCCCUGCUUGCAGGGUGCUCGCGUGGCGAACGGGUGAGUAACACGUGGGUGAUCUGCCCCUUACUUUGGGAUAAGCCUGGGAAACUGGGUCUAAUACUGGAUAGGACCAUGCUGUAGGUGGUGUGGUGGAUAGAUUAGUUUCGGUAAGGGAUGAGCUCGCGGCCUAUCAGCUUGUUGGUGGGGUAAUGGCCUACCAAGGCGUCGACGGGUAGCCGGCCUGAGAGGGUGGACGGCCACAUUGAGACUGAGAUACGGGCCAGAAUCCUACGGGAGGCAGCAAUGGGGGAUAUUGCGCAAUAGGAGCAAGCCUGAUGCAGCGACGCCGCGUGGGGGAUGACGGCCUUCGGGUUGUAAACUCCUUUCGGCCAUGACGAAGCCCUUGUGGUGACGGUAGUGGUAGAAGAAGCACCGGCUAACUACGUG